UCUGUUUUGCCGCCGCCACAGGUCAUUGAUAUGGAGUUUUGUUGCCUUGUCGCGUGCCUCUUGAUGACAUCUGCGGAAUUAUCGUACAUAUUCAUCUGCGUGUUUGUUUACACCACUUCACAAGAACGACCGCACAAAAAGGUGAAUGAGGGAGUUAAGUUAUUGUUGAUAUUGAUCAACUGUGUAGUGAAAUCAAUGUCUUUAAAACGUCGCAGUUAAAUCGGCCUACGAAUGAGAAAUAAUAACCGUGUCACAACAUUCACAGGCACCUUGGCUGUUUUCUGCAAUUUGUUUGAUUUUUUUUCUUGCUAACUCGAAAUAUUUAUGUGCUAACACGUAAGAAUGACAAUUAACAAGGUGUUAACAAUUGAUUUUAUUUGCCAUAACAUUUUCCCACUGGUUUUUAUGCUCUUUCUUGAAACUUAAAGAAGAAAACGACACAAUUGUUGCUCUAGUUCCGUGUAACGUUAUUUCGUCACGUUAAAAACACAACUAACUGAUUAAAAUAUAUAGAACCACCGACCACUAGAAGCUAGUAGAUAUGUAAUCAUUGCCUUCGCAGCCUUUCAAUUCAAAGCAAUUUCAAAGCAGCGAACAAAAGUAAUCCAUAAAUAAUCGAAUUUUGUGUCAAAAUGUUUUACGAGAAUUGAAUGAGACAGAGAGAGAGAGAGAGAAAGAA
rnacentral:sRNA from 1 species